rnacentral:rRNA from 1 species
UAUAAGAGGUACAGCCUGCCCAGUGACUUUGUUCAACGGCCGCGGUAUCCUAACCGUGCGAAGGUAGCGUAAUCACUUGUUCUUUAAAUGAGGACUAGUAUGAAUGGCAUCACGAGGGUUAUACUGUCUCCUUUUUCCAAUCAGUGAAACUAAUCUCCCCGUGAAGAAGCGGGGAUAAACCUAUAAGACGAGAAGACCCUAUGGAGCUUUAAACUAAAUUACAUUUGUCUCACAAUUAGAAAUUUCAGAAAAAUAACAUUAACCUAGACAACAUGAUAAUAAGUUUUGGGUUGGGGUGACCGCGGAGUAAAAACCACCCUCCGCAUUGAAAAAGAUUACUUCUUUAGCCAAAAGCUACAACUUAAAGCAUCAAUAAAUUGACAUUAUUGACCCAAUAUUUUGAUCAACGAACCAAGUUACCCUAGGGAUAACAGCGCAAUCCACUUCAAGAGCUCCUAUCGACAAGUGGGUUUACGACCUCGAUGUUGGAUCAGGGUAUCCCAGUGGUGCAGCCGCUACUAAAGGUUCGNNUGUUCAACGA